rnacentral:rRNA from 1 species
GGAGGGAUCAUUACCGAGUAUCUACUCAUAACCCUUUGUGAACCAUAUUGUUGCUUCGGCGGCUCGUUCUGCGAGCCCGCCGGUCCAUCAGUCUCUCUGUUUAUACCAACGAUACUUCUGAGUGUUCUUAGCGAACAAUUAAAACUUUUAACAACGGAUCUCUUGGCUCUAGCAUCGAUGAAGAACGCAGCGAAACGCGAUAUGUAGUGUGAAUUGCAGAAUUCAGUGAAUCAUCGAAUCUUUGAACGCACAUGGCGCCUUCCAGUAUCCUGGGAGGCAUGCCUGUCCGAGCGUCGUUUCAACCCUCGAGCCCCAGUGGCCCGGUGUUGGGGAUCUACGUCUGUAGGCCCUUAAAAGCAGUGGCGGACCCGCGUGGCCCUUCCUUGCGUAGUAGUUACAGCUCGCAUCGGAGUCCCGCAGGCGCUUGCCUCUAAACCCCCUACAAGCCC